ACGUUUGGACAUGUCAAUCAAAUGUAUGCCAGAAUGGAGGAAAAUGCUCCUCGUGUUUUGACGAUUCCACUGCCUUCUGCACCUGUCCCCAAGGUUACACCGGAACCUUCUGUGAGACAGUCAAUCAUUGUGACCCGAACCCCUGUCCGUUUGACUGGCCCUGUGAGAACGAACCUGACGGGCUCCAUUGUACAGCACCGAGUGGAACGAAAUCGGCCCGUUUUGGCUUCUGCAUCGAGUCCUCCUGCGUCC